rnacentral:rRNA from 1 species
UACAGAGGGGGCAAGCGUUGUUCGGAAUUACUGGGCGUAAAGGGCGCGUAGGCGGCCUGCUAAGUCGAACGUGAAAUCCCUGGGCUCAACCCAGGAACUGCGUCCGAUACUGGUUGGCUUGAAUCCGGGAGAGGGACGUGGAAUUCCAGGUGUAGCGGUGAAAUGCGUAGAUAUCGGGAAGAACACCCGUGGCGAAGGCGGUUCUCUGGGACGGUACUGACGCUGAGACGCGAAAGCGUGGGGGAGCGAACAGG